AGCUGGAUUUCUAAUUAUGGUGGUUAUCAUGGCACGAAAAGAGCCAGUCUUCUCCUGACUUAAAUAUCCACAGCUGUUACAAGUCUACAGGAAGCUUUCUUCAUAGACACUGAUUAAAGUCUCCUGCUUGCUU